rnacentral:rRNA from 1 species
GUGCCAGCAGCCGCGGUAAUACGUAGGCAGCAAGCGUUGUUCGGAGUUACUGGGCGUAAAGGGUGUGUAGGCGGUGAUUUAAGUUUGGUGUGAAAUCUCCCGGCUUAACCGGGAGGGUGCGCCGAAUACUGAAUGACUUGGAGUGCGGGAGAGGAAAGUGGAAUUCCUGGUGUAGCGGUGAAAUGCGUAGAUAUCAGGAGGAACACCGGUGGUGUAGACGGCUUUCUGGGCCGUAACUGACGCUGAGAUACGGAAGCAUAGGGAGCAAACAGGAUUAGAUACCCCAGUAGUCC